AACAAAGCAAAACCGUCUCCUGUCAACGUCAAAAAUUAACUCCAUUUUAUUUCAUUUUGGUUUUUUUUUUUUUAAAUAAACUACUCAACCACCACCACCGCCUCCUCCACAUAGAAGAACGUCGGUUUCAUUUGUCGUGGCUACUUUUGAAUUUCUCGCGAGCGACGAUUUAUGAUCGCCUGGUUGACUCGCCGGUGACGCCCCGGUGGCCGGUCAAUUUUUUGGACUAUCGUUUUGACUAUGAAGAGCAAUCACAAUAACAUUAACAGCAAUGGAAAUCAUAUUGUUAAUCAUAAGAACGGGAAAUUGAUUCCGAAUUCGUUGAAGUUCAUUUCUUCUUGUAUUAAAACCGCUUCUUCAGGUAUCAGGUCAGCUGGUGCCUCUGUAGCCGCUUCUAUUUCCAGCGAUUCUCAGGAGAAUAAAGACCAGGUAUUGUGGUCUUCAUUUGACAGACUAGAGGUUAGUCCAUCUUCCUAUAGACGUGUUCUCUUACUUGGAUACACCAAUGGUUUUCAAGUUCUUGACGUCGAAGAGGCCUCUAAUGUCAGUGAACUUGUUUCAAGGCGUGAUGAUCCAGUUACAUUUUUACAGAUGCAGCCCUUCCCUGCAAAGUCUGAACAUCAUGAAGGAUAUAGAAAUUCUCAUCCUUUACUCCUAGUUGUAGCGUGUGACGAAUCAAAGAGCAGUUCAGGUUUGUUACCUACAGGGAGAGAUUGGCUGGUAAGAGAUGGUUAUGAUGAGCCUCAAGUAGGAAACCUUGCCACUGCUCCCAGAGCUGUUCGAUUUUACUCAUUAAGGUCUCAUAACUAUGUGCAUAUUCUCAGAUUCCGAUCAACUGUUUAUAUGAUUAGAUGCAGUCCUCGAAUAGUGGCUGUGGGUCUUGCCUCUCAAAUAUAUUGCUUUGAUGCUCUCACUCUCGAAAAUAAGUUUAGUGUCCUUACUUAUCCUGUCCCUCAAUUGGGAGGCCAAGUAGUGCCUGGGGUUAAUAUUGGAUAUGGUCCAAUGGCUGUGGGUCCCCGAUGGUUAGCUUAUACCUCCAACAACCCAUUGCUCCCGAAUGCUGGCCGCUUGAGCCCACAAAGUCUUACUCCUCCAGGUGUAAGUCCAUCAACUUCACCUAGCAAUGGAAGUCUGGUGGCUCGGUAUGCUAUGGAAUCUGGUAAACAGUUAGCUGCAGGGUUGAUAAAUUUGGGUGACAUGGGCUAUAAAACUUUGUCUAGAUACUACCAAGAUAUUGUCCCUGAUGGUUCUAGUCCUCCUUUAUCUUCCAAUUCAAGCUGGAAAGUUCCACGUGGUGCAUCACAUUCAGCAGAAACUGAUAUUGCUGGGAUGGUUGUUGUGAAAGAUUUUGUGUCCAGGGCUGUCAUAUCACAGUUUCGAGCUCAUACCAGUCCAAUUUCUGCUCUAUGUUUUGAUCCAAGUGGAACUUUAUUGGUGACUGCAUCAAUACAUGGAAAUAAUAUAAAUGUUUUCCGGAUCCUGCCAUCCUGUGCAAAACAUCGAACAUCUACAGCCUCUCAAAACUAUGAUUGGAGUUCUUCUCACGUGCACCUUUAUAAGCUUCAUCGUGGCAUGACAUCAGCUGUGAUACAAGAUAUUUGUUUUAGUAAUUAUAGCCAGUGGGUUGCCAUUGUUACAUCAAGGGGAACUUGCCACAUUUUUGUUCUUGCCCCUUUUGGUGGUGAGACUGUGCUUCAAAUACAGAAUACUAAUGUAGACGGGCCUUGUCUCACACCAGUCCUUUCUCUACCAUGGUGGUCUGAUCCAUUUUUCAUGACAAAUCAACAUUCUUUUCCUUCAUCACCACCAGUACCUGUUACGCUCUCUGUGGUUAGCAGAAUAAAAAAUAAUAAUUCUGGUUGGCUUAAUACAGUUAGCAAUGCUGCAUCUUCUGCAGCAGGAAAGGCCUUCGUUCCAUCUGGUGCAGUAGCUGCCCUCUUUCAUAGUUCUGUGCCUCAGGAUUUGCUACCUGCUCACCUAAAAGUCAAUGCUUUAGAGCACUUAAUGGUUUUCACUCCUUCUGGUAAUGUUGUUCAGUAUAAAUUACUAUCAUCUACUAGAGGAGAGACAAGUGAAACCUCUCUGGGAACAGGGCAGAGUUUUUCUGCACAGAUACAAGAUGAGGAGUUAGCAGUAAAAGUUGAACCUGUUCAAUGGUGGGAUGUGUGUCGAAGAACAGAUUGGCCUGAAAGAGAGGAGUGCAUUUCUGGAAUUUCUGUUGGUCCGAAAGAAGUUUCAGAGAUGAUCAUGGAUACUUCUGAUUGUGAAGAUAAUGAUACUGGGCAUAAGGAGUUUGUAAAACUCCAUGACCAAUCUCACUUAUAUAUUGCCAAUGCAGAGGUGCAGAUGAGCUCUGGACGGAUACUUCUCUGGCAAAAUCCCAAGAUACACUUCUAUACAAUGAAUCCUUCGGAGGCUGAUGAGCAAGAUUCCACUAAAGAACAAACUGGUGGAGAGAUUAAAGUUGAGAAGAUUCCUGUUCAUUAUGUUGAGGUUAGGCGGAAGGAUUUACUGCCUGUUUUUGACCAUUUUCACAAGAUUCAAUCCGUCUGGAAUGAGAGGGGCAUUAUUGGAAGAAAAUCUACAGUUUCACUUUCUGAGUCUUAUGAAGCCAAAGAGAAGUAUUUUGAAGAAACUGAUACUUCAGAAUCUAAGUCAGCUUCACCUCACUCAGUUGAAAACUCAGAUGGAUCAUCAAAGAUUACUUAUCCAUCCAUAAACGGGAAUGAAAAUUUUGGUACAGGAAAAAGCAGGUUUGAUUUGGCAUCAGCUACACUGAAUCAAAUCUUGCUCAAAGAAGGAAAGGGUUCAAUUUUGUUGAAACAGUCUGCGGUAAAUGGUUCUCCCAUAGAGAAUAGCAAUUUUCCAAAUAUUAUAUCAUCUAUAACAGGUGGCUCACUUUCUUCUGGAGGAGCCAUAGCAAAAGAGGUUCAGUCAUCAACCAGUAAUGGGACUGCUGAAAUUAUAAACGUAAGUUCUAAUCAUUUCAAAUUGAGUACAAGCACUAUAGAUGACAGCCCAGUAGAAGAAUUGCUGGAUUUUGAACAUUUUUUCCAAGAACCCUGCAAAGCUUCAGCCUCAAAUGAAUCUCGUGAACCUGCUGGAAUUGUCACUGAUGUUAACAGCAGCAACAGUCCUUGUGAUAAAGAUAAAUCUGAAGAAGAUUGUGAAAAUGAUAAAUCCGAGGACGAUUGUGAUCAUGAUGACAUGCUUGGAGGUGUUUUUGCCUUCUCAGAAGAAGGUUGAUUUAUACCUUUGUGUUAUCUGUGAUUGAAAUAUUAGUUGAAAGGUUGGUCAAAGGUCUGCCUUAUGGAGGGUAGAAUCUAAUAUUCUUUCAACUAUAAUCAAGGAAACUUCCUGCUUUCAUGAUAUUUUACUUGUGGGACUUGGGAGCAUCUUCCUCUUGAUUUGUGUUGUUAAAGUGUGUGUGUGGUCUUGUUACCAUCAGAAAGCUCUGUUUCAUCACAUAUUGGUAGUCAAAGUGCAAUUUACUAUCGUGCCGAAAAGGAGAAACAUAGUAGAUUGUUAAAGUUUCUCAGCCUUCCUUGGCCACAAAUCUACCUAGCUAUAUUGCAUGUGAUCAUUUCAUUGCCCAGCUUGAUAAAGAUGCUUUUGUUUUGGGGAGGUGAGGCUUUAAGGGUGUAUAUUGAUGGGUCUGGAUCAUUAAAUUGCACGUUAUUUGUCCAUUUACAAAUAUUUUGAGCAUUCAUUCAUCCAAAUCUGUUCAUUAAUAUAACUUUGGAUACCCAGACAUCGUAUAACUUUGUAUUCUUGUGGCAUGCCACGGCAUUGGCAGCUACAUUAAUGGCUUGAAAUCUGUUGUGUUUUGGCCCCUACUUAGAUGCCUUGAUAUCAAAAUGUAAAGGUACAGAGCCAUUCGCAGUGGUCCCUUUAAUUGCAUUCUGCUUCUGUUGUGUUGCCCACAUAAAAGUCACGCUCUUACUAGAGAACUAACCUAGGUCAUCUUCUGUGUGUUAUUCUGCUUCUGCCUUGCUGUGACUUGGGCAAUUUCAGUUGCAUUCUUUAUUGAAUAAAACUAUGUGUACACACUUUUGAAUACACAAA